rnacentral:rRNA from 1 species
UACGUAGGGUGCGAGCGUUGUCCGGAAUUAUUGGGCGUAAAGGGCUCGUAGGCGGUCUGUCACGUCGGGAGUGAAAACUCAGGGCUUAACCCUGAGCCUGCUUCCGAUACGGGCAGACUAGAGGUAUGCAGGGGAGAACGGAAUUCCUGGUGUAGCGGUGAAAUGCGCAGAUAUCAGGAGGAACACCGGUGGCGAAGGCGGUUCUCUGGGACGGUACUGACGCUGAGACGCGAAAGCGUGGGGAGCGAACAGG